UACGGAGGGUGCAAGCAUUAAUCGGAUUUAUUGGGCGUAAAGGGCGCGUAGGCGGAUAUGUAAGUCAGAUGUGAAAUUUUCGGGCUCAACCCGGGAGCUGCAUUUGAAACUGCAUUGUCUAGAGGAUAGGCGGAGAAAACAGAAUUCUACAAGUAGCGGUGAAAUGCGUAGAUAUGUGGAAGAAUACCGGUGGCGAAGGCGGUUUUCUAGCUUAUUCCUGACGCUGAAGCGCGAAAGCAAGGGGAUCAAA
rnacentral:rRNA from 1 species